rnacentral:rRNA from 1 species
UACGGGGGGGAGCAAGCGUUGUUCGGAUUUAUUGGGCGUAAAGAGCGUGUAGGCGGCUUGACAGGUCUGCUGUGAAAACUCGAGGCUCAACCUCGAGAUGUCGGCGGAAACCGUCUGGCUAGAGUCCGGAAGAGGAGAGUGGAAUUCCUGGUGUAGCGGUGAAAUGCGCAGAUAUCAGGAAGAACACCUAUGGCGAAGGCAGCUCUCUGGGACGGUACUGACGCUGAGACGCGAAAGCGUGGGGAGCGAACAGG